CCUGAUGAUCCCAGAGAACCUUCACUCUAGCUUUGUCUAUUUCUUUACAGUUCCGAGGUAAGGUACAAAGACAGAUGCACAUAGAAGAGGUAAACUUCCCCUCUUUAACCUUAAAUGACGGCCAUUUUCUUUCAGAUUACCUGAAGAAUUUGAGUGGUUUCCCAAGGCAGAAGCACAUGCAUUUUAAUAAAGAGUUUCAGUGAGUCAGUGAAAACAGACAAGUUUGGCGAAACUUCCUAAGGGAUUUCUUUGACAUUAAGCACAUUAAUAUCAUGGAAGCCAACGGUGACAGUGCAUAGAGAAGAUCGAACUGUGCAAGAAUGUCUCACAAUCCGGUAACCAGCCGUGAAGGUCAAAGGCUCAGACAGGAGACUCCAUCCAGCAUCACUCAAUGGAUAGCAGAGUGACUCCGAGAAGAGAGCGUCAUUUUCCUGAUGUUCAUACGUGAGGAGACUGAGGCUUGGUGAUUUGAAUAGUUUACCAAAGGCUCUCAGGUAAAAGGACUUUGUUGAGCAGGAAUUCAAGUCUAGAUGCGUUUGACUUAAAAAACCAUACUCUAUAUACGGCAACAUACCACUUCCCCUGGAUCAAGAGAAAAAAGGUAAUUCUAAUUUUGAUUUCAUCCCUCACUUAUGAAAAGUUAAGCUAGGCUUUAUCUCCUUGAGCUAAAGAUAAACCAUCCAUAAAAUUAGAAUAAAACAUUAGCUUCCAACACAUGGUCA